AAUUAUGUGACGAGACAUCGGUGGAAUUGCGCAAAUGCAGAGUGAAAACAUCCACACCAGAGAAAGAGAACGAAUUAUGUGACGAGACAUCGGUGGAAUUGAGCAAAUGCGGUGUGCAAACAUCCACACCAGAGAAAGAGAACGAAUUAUGUGACGAGACAUCGGUGGAAUUGCGCAAAUGCAGAGUGAAAACAUCCACACCAGAGAAAGAGAACG